rnacentral:rRNA from 1 species
AUGGCGGCGCGGUCCAUGAGCCCGGCUUCCAGCGCCGAACUGCAGAGAGAGGGGGGAGCUCUCCUGCGGCUCAACGUAGAAGAAGGUGGUAGAUGGCCGGGGACGACCGGAUCCAGCGCUGUAAGCGGUGGUUGGCGGCGCAGGGGUCCCCGGUGGCCGAAUCCGGCGCUGGUGGCCAUACGCGGGAGGGGCGCAACAGCGCGGGUAGUGGAAGGGGCCGGGGUCACGCUGCUAGGUAGGGGUGCCAGGCGGCGCGGCGUUUCUUGGCUGCCGGCGGGAUGUGGUGGGAGGUGCGGCUGGUGGAGGUUGGGGCGGCGCGAGGGAGGCUGGGGAGCGGGCGACGCGCGAGGGAGGCCGGGGAGGAAGCGCACGGGAGGAGGAGGGUCGGGGGCGGCGGCGGCACUGGGCCUGUGCGGGCCGGAUCUGGGCUCGAAACGCGGCCCGGACAUGACCGGACCCAAAUGGGCGCGCUGCUUCUUCUCCGAUAGAAGUAUAGAAGAAUUAGAUAUUGGCAUUGGUCUGGCCCGAAUCUCGUUGUUUGGAUGGCUGUGGCAUUCGGCAUUGGAAACGAGCUCGAAUAUCGGCCCGACCGCGGCAAAUUGCGCGCCUGCCUUUCUCCAAUUCGGACCCCCAACGCUGGAUAUUGCCUUGUAUUCGCUAGCCAGAGCCCCUCCCCGCCAACUUACCUCUUCGUUCCCGCUCGAGGAAAGGCAAGAGGCGCGAGCGACGGCGCGAUUGAGGAACGCCAGCGGCGGCGCAGGUGAGAUCCCUCCCCCUCCCCCUCCCCUCCUUGUCCUCCCCGUCCUUCUCUAUCCCCGGCGAGGCUCUGUUCGUCCCCGUCCUGCUCCCUCCCCGUGCCAAUCCUCAACCCCCUCCCCCGUCUCACCAGCCAUGGCGGCCAAGAGGAUGACCAUCCAAACAAGCUUCAGAAUUGGGGCUCUCAUCCAAAUUCCAAGUGGCAAUUCUGUGCACAUCCAAACAACAGAAUUCGGGUUCAAUGCACCAGCACCCCACUCCAGCUCCUACCCUCGCCGCCGACGGAGGCCACCACCAGGUGAAGCCUGCGUCGUGGCUUCUCCUCGUCUCCCGGCCGUGCCCCCGGGCUGUCCUGUCAUCCCAGUGCUCGGGAGGUCCGGCGACGCGUUUCUCGGUGGCCUCCUGCCGGCCGACGGAUCCAGGGCGGCUGCUCCUCUCGUCGCGCCUCCCCGUUACUGCGGCGCGAUGUCCCGCCCCUCCUUACUUUUCUUCCCUCCUCUGACCUCCAUGGGGACCAGCGCCGCCCAAGUUUCCCCGCCCCCGGGUUCCGGUGAGGGCUGCGGCGAUCCACGGCUGCUGGGCUUCUUUUCCUACGGGGCUGGGGAAUUGGGAGAUGCUCCUGCUGCUGCCAGUCAUGGGGGAUACAUGUUCAGACGGGAGAUGAUGAACCGGGUAAUGCACGCCGCGGCGAGGGGCGACGACCUGAAGAUCCUCAAGGAGCUCCUGCAGGGUUGCUCCAUUGCUGGUGCGUACCAGGACGCCCAGGGCGCCACCAUCUUUCAUGUUGCUGCUUCAAGGGGGCCAAAGAGAUGGCCAUGGUUGCCCGAUGCCCGAGCGUCGCCGGCCAAGGACCCGUCGGCGUCUAGACCCCCUCCACGCCAUCCCCAUCUCGCCAAAGACCUGCACCAAGUCCCGUCCAGAGCCUGCGCCAUCCUCGGCCCCCGCCCCGCAGCUCUACAGCCCGAGCGCUUCAGCCGCCUCGCACCCGAUGUAGAGGAGAGGAGCUCCCUGCCACGAGCCUCCCUAGCGCUAGCAAACCAGCAGGCCGACCCCGCCUCCUUCUCGCUUCCCUCCUCCUUCCUUUUGCCUCCCGCGGCAUGGCCGCCGUCCCGUGCCCGGCGGUGGAGAAGACAAAUACUGUGA